rnacentral:rRNA from 1 species
CCUACGGGAGGCAGCAGUGGGGAAUAUUGCACAAUGGGGGAAACCCUGAUGCAGCGACGCCGCGUGAGUGAAGAAGUAUUUCGGUAUGUAAAGCUCUAUCAGCAGGGAAGAAGAAAGACGGUACCUGACUAAGAAGCCCCGGCUAACUACGUGCCAGCAGCCGCGGUAAUACGUAGGGGGCAAGCGUUAUCCGGAUUUACUGGGUGUAAAGGGAGCGUAGACGGCUGUGCAAGUCUGAAGUGAAAGCCCAGGGCUUAACCCUGGGACUGCUUUGGAAACUGUUGAACUUGAGUGCAGAAGAGGAGGGUGGAACGUCAGGUGUAGCGGUGAAAUGCGUAGAGAUUAGGAGGAACACCAGUGGCGAAGGCGGCUUACUGGACUGUAACUGACGUUGAGGCUCGAAAGCGUGGGGAGCAAACAGGAUUAGAUACCCUGGUAGUC